CUUAUGUAGAAGACAUUCUUUGCUUUCUCCCCGGCCAAUAGUUGUGACACCAGCUCUAGUCACUGAUAGCCUAUUUUCUCGUAGGACUCUCGUAACUUCAGAAAGUAAGCCAACUCGAUCCUUGGCACACAACUCUAGGAUGAAACCAUCACUUAUCCUUCGCCAAAUUGUAGCUUCAAUAAACUUCACAACCCUUUCCUUCUCCGCUUCAGAUUCCAGAAUGCAACCAUCCAUGUGGCGAAUAAAAUACUCUUGUGAUGUAGAGGGACCAUCUGAUGAGAUAGUGGCAUGGAAAACAGCAUACUACAUGUCUGUGAGGGUGCAUACAAUGUCAAACAUAAGCUUUGGUCUAUCCUUGCAACUUACACCGACCACUGAGUACCCUUUGAUCUCAACACAGCUUUCAAUUCUAACGUCUGGUUUGGAGUUAGGAGGGUAUUCUAUCUCCAUUUCGAGAUAGCCACCUUCGUAGUCCCUAUCAGCAACGAACAUCUGAUGAAGCCUCUGGUCAACAUGAGUACUACCAGCUGAGAAAGUAGCAUGAGCCUCACUCCUAUUCUCUCUCUAGGUUGAGUUUCAACUCUUCAAUAAGUCUCUUAGUGCUAUCUAGCUCUUUCAGAAUUAGCAACUUUGGAUCCUCCGCAUCCUGACACUUUUCUUAUACUAUGGGAUCUGCUC
rnacentral:lncRNA from 1 species